AUGCUGAUUAAUAGGGCAGGAGAGUUUGGGGGGGAGUGGGAGAAAGUAGAGGGUUUGGAUGAAUGCCGGGGUGCAGAAAAGGCAGUCUUUUCAGCAUUUCGGGGCCCACAGCCUCACAGCGCUGCUUGCUUCUCAGCCAAGUGGAAACUGCACUCGGCACAGCGGCAGAUGUACCUGCGGAAUAGACCAAUGGAGCUGGAGUCACCUGCCACCAAUUUGGGACAUCGUGCUAUGAAGCAUUCGAAAACGAACGAGGAAGCAGUACAAGCGUGAUAGACACCUUGCACUGGUCCUGUCAGCUUUGUGUUUCGCUGGAGAGCAACAGGCAGAUUCAAGGACCCGCCCACCUCUGGUGAAAAGGCAGGGAAGGCUUUUCCAAGCAUGGCUCCUCCAGUCUCCUCCAGGAAUUCACUGAGACUUAACCACCGUCUAUGCUAGAACAUGCUCCUUGCAGCUAUCCAAACAUCUCCUGAGCUGUUUACUCUGCUCAGUGCCAGCCUCUCCGCAGACUGACGUUCCUGCAAGAGCGGGGCUCCCUCCUUUGCCUGGGAAAUCUGCAAUGCAUUGUCUGGCACAUCUCAUCCUCUGAUAGAUUCUCAUAGGAUGGGGUUUAAACCUUUACCACCCCCUAUUAAUUAUACACUUGAGAUUUCUAUAGCUGGCAAAAAAAAAAAAAAAGUCACUAAUAUGCUGUAAUCAGGCAGAGGGAGGCAGUGGCAUAUAAAUUGUUAAUUUAUGUAAAGCUACGCAUAGGGAAGAAAUUAUCCAGCAUGUGUGCACAAAGGUGAAAAUAUUAGCUUGUGUCAGUGCGUGCCAGUUGUGAAGCUUGACGCUGCCGCCAAGCCUCCUGGGGGUGGGUGGUGACGUGGUGACCAUGAGAUCAGUCCUCUGAGGCUUGUCAGAGAUGGCAGACUCCAGGCUGGGAGCUUCUUAGGUGUAUUUUACACUGUAAUAGGUGAUCCUUCCUUUCAUUUGAGAGAACUAUGCAUGAGAGCAACCUAAAUCUUGUCCGCAAUGGGUGGACGAGCCUCAGAAAGAUAUAUGGUCUUAGGUCACAAAACAUGUGUUCCUUGUUUGACACCCAGGCCCCCAGAUUCUCACCUGAAUAUCUCCGCCUCCCCCAUGCUUUAGCAGGUGCACCUUCCACUCCAUUCUCUUAUGUGAAUGAAAUGUACACAAAAUCUAUCUUCAGGAUUUGUUUUAUGAGACACACUUGAGGUGGAAGAUAUAUGUAUGUACAUAGUAUCUGACCUUAGAUACUGAGGGUUGAGUUAACUGUAUUUUCCUCUUCAGUUAGUGGUAGAGCACCCCCCCCCCCCACAACCUGGUGGGCUGGACAGGGUCUCUUCCUUGUUUCCAUAAUUACUUAGUUAAUGACCACACUUGUUCCCAUCCAUCCCCAUCCCAUUCUCAACCCCACACCCAGCCCCACUGCUGGCAACUAUGUCUGCAUGUGUAAUGGGUCUAUUUUUGUUCAUCUGUUUUCUUGAAGAGUAUACAUCAUUUGGGGUUGGAGUGUUUUUCACAAAUAUAAGAAGGUAGCAUUUUAUCAGGCCUUUCAUUUGGUUCACACAGGAUCAUGUGUUUGGCUUCCACCUGUUCUUGGAUACUGUGUACACAUUACCUGUACCUUCUAGCUUGGGGGGGGAGUGCUCCGAGGUACCAAUUCUGUCCAGAAUUACCUCCCCUUUCUUCCAGCGUGGACACCUAGAUUGCUUCCAAUCUUCUGCUACCAAAAUAAAACUUUCAUAAAUAUCCUUGCACACAAUAAACACCUUUGUG
rnacentral:lncRNA from 1 species